rnacentral:rRNA from 1 species
AGUGAACGCUGGCGGUAGGCCUAACACAUGCAAGUCGAACGGCAGCACAGUAAGAGCUUGCUCUUACGGGUGGCGAGUGGCGGAUGGGUGAGGAAUACAUCGGAAUCUACUUUUUCGUGGGGGAUAACGUAGGGAAACUUACGCUAAUACCGCAUACGACCUACGGGUGAAAGCAGGGGAUCUUCGGACCUUGCGCGAUUGAAUGAGCCGAUGUCGGAUUAGCUAGUUGGCGGGGUAAAGGCCCACCAAGGCGACGAUCCGUAGCUGGUCUGAGAGGAUGAUCAGCCACACUGGAACUGAGACACGGUCCAGACUCCUACGGGAGGCAGCAGUGGGGAAUAUUGGACAAUGGGCGCAAGCCUGAUCCAGCCAUACCGCGUGGGUGAAGAAGGCCUUCGGGUUGUAAAGCCCUUUUGUUGGGAAAGAAAAGCAGCAGGUUAAUACCCCGCUGUUCUGACGGUACCCAAAGAAUAAGCACCGGCUAACUUCGU